GCAGCGAAACGCGAUAGUUAAUGUGAAUUGCAGAAUUCAGUGAAUCAUCGAGUCUUUGAACGCACAUUGCGCCCAUUGGUAUUCCGAUGGGCAUGUCUGUUUGAGCGUCAUUACAACCCUCGGCUCCAGCCGGUUUUGAGCACGCCUCGGCCUCACCGCCAGGCUGGCUUUAAAGUUGUAAGCUCUGCUGACCGCUCCUGCCGAACCAGAACAUAGUAAUAACCAUACUUGUUCGCAAGGCGAGGCUCUGGCGGUUCGGCCUGAACAAAACCUACCAAACCUAAGGUUUGACCUCAGAUCAGACAAGGAUACCCGCUGAACUUAAGCAUAUCAAUAAGCGGAGGA
rnacentral:rRNA from 1 species